ACUUCUAUUUCCAGACUAUUCUCUGCCUCAACAAUGGCAGUACCAACAUUGGCUGAUGAAGACAAAUAUGAAACUUUACAGGCCCGAACAUCUGCAGACUGUCCAAGCUGGGUUUCUUUUCUAAUAGAAAUUGAGCUCUCUAGUCUCUGCUGAAAUGGUGAAGGUGAAGGAGAAGAAGCAAGACGAGAACCAUGAAAUCGACCAACUGGAACCAAGGACUCAGGUUGAACUUGAGGCUCUACAUCUUCUCCCCUUCUUGCCUGUAACUUUUCCCACUUGAUUCUUUCUGACUGCCGCUGGUGCAAGCGAGCUCUUUUCUGAAAUAUUUUAUCUUCAUAUGAUCCCACUGC
rnacentral:misc_RNA from 1 species